CCCAAGAUGCCUUGCGGGCCGGCUGGCAGAAAAACUUAAAAACAAUGGCGGACAGUGAAGCGGGAGCUGUCGGAGAGGAUUGCGCAUAUACAUGAACAAAAGAGAAAACCAGGGAAUUUAUUAAGCUUAGGGCGGAGAUGGACCACAUGAUCACUGGAGCAAAGUAUUCGGCGGCUGUGGCAUGGAGACUAUUCUGGAGAAAAUGGGCAUCCAGGGGAAGGUGCCAGCGAUGACCAGCUUCUGGAGCUGAUCAGGGAGGACAUGAGGCUGCAGAGGGAGGCAGAGCAACAGAGGGCACAGGAGAG